GUCCUAGCUGUAAACAAUGGAUACUAGAUGUUGAACAGAUCGACCUGUGCAGUAUUAAAGCUAACGCGUUAAGUAUCCCGCCUGGGAAGUAUGCUCGCAAGAGUGAAACUCAAAAGGAAUUGACGGGGGCCCGCACAAGCGGUGGAGCAUGUGGUUUAAUUCGAUGCAACGCGAAGAACCUUACCAGGGUUUGACAUGAUACGAAUUUUUUUGAAAGAAAAAAGUGCCGUUUGGAACGUAUACACAGGUGGUGCAUGGCUGUCGU
rnacentral:rRNA from 1 species